rnacentral:rRNA from 1 species
GACGAACGCUGGCGGCGUGCUUAACACAUGCAAGUCGAACGGAAAGGCCCUGCCUUUGUGGGGUGCUCGAGUGGCGAACGGGUGAGUAACACGUGAGUAACCUGCCCUUGACUUUGGGAUAACUUCAGGAAACUGGGGCUAAUACCGGAUAGGAGCUCCUGCUGCAUGGUGGGGGUUGGAAAGUUUCGGCGGUUGGGGAUGGACUCGCGGCUUAUCAGCUUGUUGGUGGGGUGGUGGCUUACCAAGGCUUUGACGGGUAGCCGGCCUGAGAGGGUGACCGGCCACAUUGGGACUGAGAUACGGCCCAGACUCCUACGGGAGGCAGCAGUGGGGAAUAUUGCACAAUGGGCGGAAGCCUGAUGCAGCAACGCCGCGUGCGGGAUGACGGCCUUCGGGUUGUAAACCGCUUUCGCCUGUGACGAAGCGUGAGUGACGGUAAUGGGUAAAGAAGCACCGGCUAACUACGUG